rnacentral:rRNA from 1 species
UACAGAGGUCUCGAGCGUUGUUCGGAUUCAUUGGGCGUAAAGGGUGCGUAGGUGGCGCCGUAAGUCGGGUGUGAAAUUUCGGAGCUUAACUCCGAAACUGCAUUCGAUACUGCGGUGCUUGAGGACUGGAGAGGAGACUGGAAUUCAUGGUGUAGCAGUGAAAUGCGUAGAGAUCAUGAGGAAGACCAGUGGCGAAGGCGGGUCCUG